rnacentral:rRNA from 1 species
GACGAACGCUGGCGGCGUGCUUAACACAUGCAAGUCGAGCGGAGCGUCGAACGGGUGAGUAACGCGUGAGUAACUGCCCCCCUCUCUGGGAUAACAGUUGGAAACGGCUGCUAAUACCGGCUAGUGGGGGAUGAUUCGCGUCCUAUCAGCUUGGUGGUGGGGGAUUGGCCUACCAAGGCGACGCCGGGUAGCGGGCCGGAGAGGGCGACCGGGCACAGUGGGCUUAGAUACGGCACGAACUCCUACGGGAGGCAGCAGUGGGGAAUAUUGCACAAUGGUGGAAACCCUGAUGCAGCAACGCCGCUUGCGGGAUGACGGCCGUCGGGUUGUAAGCCGCUUUCAGCCAUGACGCGGUAGGGGCAGAAGAAGGACCGGCUAACUACGUGCCAGCCGCCGCGGUAAUUC